CCAGCGAACUUGGCAGAGAUGCCUUGGUGCCUUCGGGAACGCUGAGACAGGUGCUGCAUGGCUGUCGUCAGCUCGUGUUGUGAAAUGUUGGGUUAAGUCCCGCAACGAGCGCAACCCUUAUCCUUUGUUGCCAGCGAUUCGGUCGGGAACUCAAAGGAGACUGCCGGUGAUAAGCCGGAGGAAGGUGGGGAUGACGUCAAGUCAUCAUGGCCCUUACGAGUAGGGCUACACACGUGCUACAAUGGCGCAUACAAAGAGAAGCGACCUCGCGAGAGCAAGCGGACCUCAUAAAGUGCGUCGUAGUCCGGAUCGGAGUCUGCAACUCGACUCCGUGAAGUCGGAAUCGCUAGUAAUCGUGGAUCAGAAUGCCACGGUGAAUACGUUCCCGGGCCUUGUACACACCGCCCGUCACACCAUGGGAGUGGGUUGCAAAAGAAGUAGGUAGCUUAACCUUCGGGAGGGCGCUUACCACUUUGUGAUUCAUGACUGGGGUGAAGUCGUAACAAGGUAAGCGUAGCGAG
rnacentral:rRNA from 1 species